UCCGGUGCAUAUAGUAAGAGGGACACACCUGUAACCAUAUCGAACACAGAAGUUAAGCCUCAUUACGCCGAUGGUACUUGGUUGGUAACGACCUGGGAGAGUAGGUGAUGCCGGUU
rfam:Anaerosphaera aminiphila DSM 21120 genome assembly, contig: EJ13DRAFT_scaffold00003.3